rnacentral:rRNA from 1 species
AUUGAACGCUGGCGGCGUGCCUAAUACAUGCAAGUCGAACGGGGAAAGCUUUCGGGUGAGUACUAGUGGCGCACGGGUGAGUAACGCGUGGAUAAUCUGCCUUAGAGUGGGGGAUAACUAGUCGAAAGAUUAGCUAAUACCGCAUAAGACCACAAGAACUGCGGUUCAAGAGGUCAAAGGUUUUUCGCUCUAAGAUGAGUCCGCGUAAGAUUAGCUAGUUGGUGAGGUAGCGGCCCACCAAGGCAACGAUCUUUAACUGGUCUGAGAGGAUGAUCAGGCACACUGGGACGGAGACACGGUCCAGACUCCUACGGGAGGCAGCAGUAGGGAAUAUUGCGCAAUGGAGGAAACUCUGAUGCAGCGACGCCGCGUGAGUGAUGAAGGCCUUGGGGUCGUAAAGCUCUGUCGCAGGGGAAUAACACAAUGAAUGUACCCUGAAAGAAAGGAUCGGCUAACUUCGUGCCAGCAGCCGCCGUAAUAC